GUAUGGUAGGAACAUAGAAAAGAUGGAGGAACUGUGCACCAGCCACAACACAGGGCCGGGCACACUGUAUCAGCCGUUUGUGUGAGCUCUGGAGCCUAGGCUGCCUGGUCUCUGCUGUACUCUGGUGCCUGCACCUGCAGAUGCUCUCUCACCCUGCAUCACAAGUGACUAAGAUGGAUCGUGUGCCUUAGGCUCAGGGUGGGUCUGAGAAGAAUAGCACUGCAGAAAAGAAUGAGUGGACCUCCUUCCAGUGGGAGAAGCAAAAUCCGCCUCCUGAGGCUCCAGUAUCUCCAACAGGGAAUACUCCUAUGAAGCCAGACAGCCCUGGUCCCUGCAAACCUCCCCUGGCCCAGGACACAUGCAUUCAGCAUCCCAGACCUGAGAGACAAAAGGGCAGGGAGAGCUGUGUGCUCUUCAUUCCCCACCCGGCUGCUGCCUUUCCUGGCCUCCAGCCAGCGCAGAAGCAGGCUGGCCCUUGCCUACGGCUUUCACCCAUCUCCUCCACUCUAGAAAUACAGAAGGAUGUGCCACCUCUGCGGAUUGCAACUGUUGUUGCCACCUUGAGGCAUCAGUGGUGAGAAAGGGCAGGGAAGCCAGGAGGAAGUGAAGACAAGGGGAGAGAUGGAAAGGUGGAAAAGAAGGACGGGGGAGAGGGAGGUAAGAAAAAGGAAUGAGGAGCGUAUGGACUCUCUCCCAGGAGGAAGGACUGGGUGCCACCUGCUGCUGACUUCUAGGAAGAUGUGGCCAGAUCAGAACUCUGAGAAAGGCAUUCAACAGCAUGCAUGCAUGCCCACGGGCUCUGCCACCCCUUCCACAUGUCAUCUGAGUCAUGAGAAGCAGGUGACAUCUCUGAGGAGAUGGAUAUCUUGGGUCACCUUCAGAAGGUGGGCCAAAGGUACACCAAGGAGUCCUGCAAGAAACUGCGGGAGGGAGCCCUAUAGGAGGUGGUUCUACCUUCCAGCCUGCAUCACUUGUGCUAAGACAGAGGGAGCAUGGAGGAGGCCAGGUCCAAGUGCUAACCUGCCUACGCUGCACCCGGGUUCCUCUGAGACAGGGUCCUGCCUGGGCCAGAGACCAGGGACUGUGGGACAGAGAAACCGUCUUUCCUCCUCCACCUACCUGGAGUUUCCAAGCAAGCGAAACAUGAGUGAGGGGUGGGACUUUCACCUCACAAGCCCAUCUAUGAGAAAUAAAAGGCCCAUGGGAGUGUGGAUUGAUGCAGGGGCUGGUGGUGUA